rnacentral:rRNA from 1 species
GCUAACACUAGCCCCAAACACAACUAAUACUAGUAUCAAACUAGCAUAUACUAAACCAUUUACCCAUGCAAAGUAUAGGCGAUAGAAAUUUUAACCUGGCGCUAUAGAGACAGUACCGUAAGGGAAAGAAUGAAAAUCACCUAGGCAUAAAAUAGCAAGAACUAACCCCUGUACCUUUUGCAUAAUGAAUUAACUAGAACUAAUUUCGCAAAGAGAACUAAAGCCAAAUUCCCCGAAAUCAGACGAGCUACCCAAAAACAGCUAAAAGAGCGCACCCGUCUAUGUGGCAAAAUAGUGGGAAGAUUUAUGGGUAGAGGUGACAAGCCUACCGAGCCUGAUGAUAGCUGGUUAUCCAAGAUAGAAUCUUAGUUCAACCUUGAGCCUACUAACAGAACCACCUAAUCCUCCCGUAGACUCAAUUGUUAGUCUAAAGAGGGACAGCUCUUUAGACAUUAGGAAAAAACCUUAUAUAGAGAGUAAAAACCCCAACUACCAUAGUUGGCCUAAAAGCAGCCAUCAAUUAAGAAAGCGUUUAAGCUCAACAUCAACUACCCCUAAAAAUCCCAAACAUAUAACUGAACUCCUCACCCCACAUUGGAUUAAUCUAUCACCAUAUAGAAACAAUAAUGUUAGUAUGAGUAACAUGAACAUUUUCUCCACUGCAUAAGCCUAAAUCAGACCGAAAAAUCUCACUGAUACUUAACAGCCUAGUACUGACAAACACAAACAAGCCCGUACUAUAUCUACUGUUAACCCAACACAGGCAUGCUUUCAAGGAAGGUUAAAAAAAGUAAAAGGAACUCGGCAAACCUAACUCCCGCCUGUUUACCAAAAACAUCACCUCUAGCAUUACCAGUAUUAGAGGCACUGCCUGCCCAGUGACACACGUUUAACGGCCGCGGUACCCUGACCGUGCAAAGGUAGCAUAAUCACUUGUUCUCUAAAUAGGGACUCGUAUGAAUGGCAUCACGAGGGUUUAACUGUCUCUUACUUUCAACCAGUGAAAUUGACCUGUCCGUGAAGAGGCGGACAUAAAACAAUAAGACGAGAAGACCCCGUGGAGCUUUAAUUUACCAGUGCAACUAAAAACCUAUACAAACCUACAGGCCCCUAAACCUCUACACCUGCACUAAAAAUUUUGAUUGGGGUGAUCUCGGAGCACAACAAAACCUCCGAAUAAACCAUGCUAAGACCACACAAGUUAAAGCGGACUAACAUUUACAAUUGACCCAAUAAUUUGAUCAACGGAACAAGUUACCCCGGGGAUAACAGCGCAAUUCUAUUCUAGAGUUCAUAUCGACAAUAGAGUUUACGACCUCGAUGUUGGAUCAGGACAUCCUAAUGGUGCAGCAGCUAUCAAGGGUUCGUUUGUUCAACGAUUAAAGUCCUACGUGAUCUGAGUUCAGACCGGAGCAAUCCAGGUCGGUUUCUAUCUAUUAUAUAUUCCUCCCUGUACGAAAGGACAAGAGAAAUAGAGCCCACUCCACUAGAGCGCUCUCACUACAUAAAUGACCUAAUCUCAAUUUAAUAAAAUACUACAUACCCCACCCAAGAACAGGGUUU